rnacentral:rRNA from 1 species
AGUGAACGCUGGCGGUAGGCCUAACACAUGCAAGUCGAACGGCAGCACAGUAAGAGCUUGCUCUUACGGGUGGCGAGUGGCGGACGGGUGAGGAAUACAUCGGAAUCUACUUUUUCGUGGGGGAUAACGUAGGGAAACUUACGCUAAUACCGCAUACGACCUACGGGUGAAAGCAGGGGAUCUUCGGACCUUGCGCGAUUGAAUGAGCCGAUGUCGGAUUAGCUAGUUGGCGGGGUAAAGGCCCACCAAGGCGACGAUCCGUAGCUGGUCUGAGAGGAUGAUCAGCCACACUGGAACUGAGACACGGUCCAGACUCCUACGGGAGGCAGCAGUGGGGAAUAUUGGACAAUGGGCGCAAGCCUGAUCCAGCCAUACCGCGUGGGUGAAGAAGGCCUUCGGGUGGUAAAGCCCUUUUGUUGGGAAAGAAAAGCAGCAGGUUAAUACCCCGCUGUUCGGACGGUACCCAAAGAAUAAGCACCGGCUAACUUCGU